UUCUCCUAGUGAAUCUUCUAACCAAAUUUGGAUGGCGAAUGGUGCACAAUGAACUCUGUUUGGCUUGUGUUUCCCUGGCAAACAUAACCUUUCUGAACUUGUGCUCCCAGAUAGUUUGGACAGCAUGCAGCGACCGCUGUGCAAAAGAUAGCCAGGAGAAAGGAGAAAAAAUGAAGUUACUGGUGGAUGCAAUGCUUUCUCCACUUGACAACUUAUAUUGUUCACUCUCCAGGAAAGUGCUGACCUAUUCAAUGACUGGCAAUCCCUGGACAGUCAUGUGUCUAUAAAUAAGCCCUCUUUUCCUCCCUUGGC